rnacentral:lncRNA from 1 species
CGACAGCCAGCCGCCUAGCCACACGCACACCCCGCCGUCCCGUGCUCCCGGCCGCCACCGCACACACGCACAGGCCACAGGCGCACCGCGCAGCGCGCACAGCACAGCAGCCGAGCAGCGCUUGGACGAGCACGAACGCCGGUCACCGGCUCACCGCUGGCACUGGGGCCGUCAUGAUUCUGCACUUCUGCUUCUUGGUCUCUUGGAUCUUGGUAGUGCAGCGGCCGGCCAGGGGAUCUUUCGGGCAUGAGUAAUGUUGAUUAGAAUUAACUAAUUUUUCGGGCAGCUGGGCCUAGCCAUCAUAGUUUACUUUCAUAACUUUUAAAUUCCCCUAUCAUUUUUCACAGGGAUGGACUUUGCUGAUUUGAGAUGAAGGCCUGAUUUCACGAGGAAGAUUUACGUUGUUGUUGCCCUCACGGUCAUGUGCAUAAUCAUGCAGUUCAGCAUACAAGGGCAAAAGAACCUUAUGGGGCCGCACUUCAGUAUUUGAAAAUGUUUUGUAUAGUUCUAUAAAUUAGUAUCGGUAGCAUAGUCUUACAAUUUUAUGCAAACCAGUAAUUAGUUUCGCAGGCAGUCUGUAACAAUUAUCAAAAGAUCACCUUUGCAAUUAGAGGCAUUUGAGAAGUGUGCUAAAGAAUGUGAAUAUGUAUUGCUUAAUUUAUGUGUUUGUUGGAUGGUUGGGCAAUUAAUGCCAUCGAUACGAACUACCCGACAACUAUCCGGUAUCUACCCG